ensembl:snRNA U6 U6 spliceosomal RNA
GUCUUGCUUUCACAGGGCAUCUACUAAAAUUGGGACAAUUCAGAGAAGGUUAGCAUGCCUUCUGCUCAAGGAUGACAUGCACAUUUUUGAAUCAUUUUAUAUUUUU